AUUGAACGCUGGCUGCAGGCCUAACACAUGCACGUCGAACGAGUGGCGCACGGGUGAGUAAUGUCUGGGAAACUGCCCGAUGGAGGGGGAUAACUACUGUAAACGGUAGCUAAUACCGCAUACCAUCGGAUGUGCCCAGUUGGGAUUAGCUAGUGGGUGGGGUAAUGGCUCACCUAGGCAACGAUCCCUAGCUGGUCUGAGAGGAUAACCAGCCACACUGGAACUGAGACACGGUCCAGACUCCUACGGGAGGCAGCAGUGGGGAAUAUUGCACAAUGGGCGCAAGCCUGAUGCAGCCAUGCCGCGUGUAUGAAGAAGGGCUUCGGGUUGUAAAGUACUUUCAGCAGGGAAGCGUUACCCGCAGAAGAAGCACCGGCUAACUCCGUGCCAGCAGCCGCGGUAAUUC
rnacentral:rRNA from 1 species